rnacentral:rRNA from 1 species
CUCCCCAUCCGACCCGUCUUGAAACACGGACCAAGG